AUGAACGCUGGCGGCGUGCCUAAUACCUGCAAGUCGAGCGAACGGACGAGAAGCUUGCUUCUCUGAUGUUAGCGGCGGACGGGUGAGUAACACGUGGAUAACCUACCUAUAAGACUGGGAUAACCUCGGGAAACCGGAGCUAAUACCGGAUGAUAUUUUGAACCGCAUGGUUCAAAAGUGAAAGACGGUCUUGCUGUCACUUAUAGAUGGAUCCGCGCUGCAUUAGCUAGUUGGUAAGGUAACGGCUUACCAAGGCAACGAUGCAUAGCCGACCUGAGAGGGUGAUCGGCCACACUGGAACUGAGACACGGUCCAGACUCCUACGGGAGGCAGCAGUAGGGAAUCUUCCGCAAUGGGCGAAAGCCUGACGGAGCAACGCCGCGUGAGUGAUGAAGGUCUUCGGAUCGUAAAACUCUGUUAUUAGGGAAGAACAUAUGUGUAAGUAACUGUGCACAUCUUGACGGUACCUAAUCAGAAAGCCACGGCUAACUACGUG
rnacentral:rRNA from 1 species